CAGAAUGAAUAAGUUCUCCCUGAAUAAAAGUCUAUCAUUGCCCCCCACCAGCGGUAAGGAUUGGUAGAAACUAUAUUGAGGGAAUUAAAAAAUUCAUCUCGGCCAAAAAAUGGAAUUAACUCGCGAACAUUUUCGUGCGAUCAUUUUUCACAACUUUCGACGUGGAUUAUCACGACAAGAUGCAUCGAUGAACUAAAAUCUUUGUAUGGCUAUGAAGCACCAUCCUAAAGCACUGUGAAAAACUGUUACAACGAAUUCAAUCGUGGCCGACGCUCGCUCAAAGACGAAUUCCGUGAAGGUCGUCCAAAAACAGCCGUUGUGCCAGAAAACAUCGAUGACGUACGUGAACUGAUAAUGCAAGACCGUCAUGUAACAUACCUUCAGAUAGAGGCAUGCCUAUGCAUUUCUCCCACCAGCAUACAUUCGAUAUUGCAUGAACACCUGGCCGUAAAAAAUGUUUGUUCUCGUUGGAUCCCGCACAAUUUGACAAUCGCUCAAAAAAAGGCUCGUGUGGAUUGGUGUAAAGAAAUGCUGAAAAAAUACGAUCGCGGUGCUUCAAAAGACGUUUAUAAGAUUGUGACAGGUGACGAAUCAUGGAUCUAUGCGUAUGAGCCCGAAACAACACAGCAAUCGACCGUGUGGGUCUUGCAAGACGAGCCAAAUCCAACGAAGAAAAAAAAAAACAAUUUUCGUUGAUAAAAAUUCCUAUUUUCAUUAUUAGGCCAGAAAUAUAAAUAACAACUUAUGUUAUAAUUUAGUAGUGUGGUUGAUAAUUAGUUAAAAGAAAGAGCUGUAUUUAUUUUAUAUACUAUUAAAUUGACAAUAUUGAAAUAGAAAA